ACUUCUGCUUUCAGUAACCUAAUUUCUCCUAUUUCAGAUAUACUUUCAAGUUGAAAAUGAAAGUAAACCAACAGUACAAAUUCUCGGCCAGGCAUGGUGGUGGGCACCUGUGGUCCCAGCUGCUCAGGAGGCUGAAGCAGGAGAACUGCUUGAACCCAGGAGGCAGAGGUUGCAGUGAGCUGAGAUCCAGCCACUGCACUCCAGCCUGGGUGACAGUGAGAUUUUGCCUGAAAAAUAAAUAAAUAAAUAAUGGAAAGUAUACUAAUAACCUUUUUCCCAGGUGGCUGCCGAAGAUGGCAAAGUUGCAGGUCCUGGUGCUUAAUGGUCGAGGCCAUCUCCUGGGUCGCCUGGUGGCCACUGUGGCUAAGCAGGUACUGCUGGGCUGAAGGUGGUGGUCACAUGCUGUGAGGGCAUCAACAUUUCUGGCAAUUUCUACAGAAAUGAGUUGAAGUACCUGGCUUUCCUCCACAAGCGGAUGAACACCAACCCUUCCCGAGGCCCCUAUCACUUCCGGGCCACCAGCCUCUCUAGCAGAGUGUGCGAGGCAUGCUGCCCCACAAGACCAAGCAAGGCCAGGCCGCCCUGGAGUGCCUCAAGGUGCUUGACAGCAUCCCACCAUCCCAUGACAAGAAAAAGUGGAUGGUGGUUUCUGCUGCCCUCAAAGUUGUGCGUCUGAAGCAUAUAAGAAAGUCUUCACAUCUGGGGCACCUGGCUCACGAGGUUAGCUGUAAGUACCAGGCAGUGACAGCUACCCUGGAGGAGAAGAGGAAGGAGAAAGCCAAGAUCCACUACCAGAAGAAGAAACAGCUCAUGAGGCUAUGGAAAUAGGCUGAGAAGAAUGUGGAGAAGGAAACUGACAAAUACACGGAAGUCCUCCAGACCCACGGACUCCUUGUCUGAGCCCAAUGAAGGCUGUUAAUUCCUCAUGCUUGACCUGCCCUUCCUCCAUUGUCACCCUGGAAUGUCCAGGACCCAGGGGCGGCAGCAGUCCAGGUGCCACAAGCAGCCAGAGACAUAGAAAGCUGGGAGGAAGGAAACCUCUUAGUCACUGCCUUCUGAGGUUACCUGAAAGCACUGGGAGAAUUGUGCAGGUAUAAUUUGUCUAUGACCAAUAGGAAGAGCAACCAGUUAUUAUCAGCAAAAGGGAGCUGGAAGACUAAUUGGAGGUGCCCCACCUUGUGAGUGGGGCUUCUGUCUAACUCGCCACCUGGUCAUGCACUAUACUCUGCAGCUGUUAGAAU